GAAGUUAAAAAUGCGCAUGUCCAAAUUCUAUGACUACAGGGAACAAGGAGAUUAUAUAGUUUUCUCUAACUGCGUAAGUCAAAAGAGCAACAAGUGUUACAUCUAUAAUUGCAGCAAUGCUGCCCAUUCAUCAGUGAAAGAUAUGUCUCAACGACUUUAUGAUUCUUAGUUCAGUCACAAAGUUACGGUCUUGAUUUGAUCUCGAACUUUCAUGUAAGAUAUGGUCUUCUUGCAAUGAACUCUAGUUUCUAGAUAGUUCUGUUCUCAGUAAAGUAAACACCUUUUGUUUUGAUAGGUGUAUUCAUGCAGGGAAAGUUCAGAUUAAUCUCAACUCUUAUAGCUGGUUUAGUGUUUCUCAUCUGAAACAGCUACUAUUUGCUCAUUUUCUUUAUGAAAUGAGAGUAUCUGGUAAACAAAGCGGACUUACUGAGCUGGUACUAAUUAUUACCCGUUAACGGUAUUCAGAAGUAUCACGUGCAAGGAGAAGCAUGUCAACGUUACU